rnacentral:misc_RNA from 1 species
CGCACCUUGCGCCUUUUGGUAUUCCGAAAGGCAUGCCUGUUUGAGUGUCAUGAAAUCUCAACCCCAUCUGGUUUAUGAUCAGUUGGGGCUUGGACAUGGGCGUCUGCCGGUUACACGGCUCGCCUCAAAUGACUUAGUGGGAUCGCUAGCAUCCGUGACAGACGUAAUAAGUUUCGUCUUGUCCCUUGCGUGCGUCAAGCCUGCUCAGAACACCGCUUGCCUCUGUGCAACACUUUUUUGACUCUGACCUCAAAUCAGGUAGGACUACCCGCUGAACUUAA